rnacentral:tRNA from 1 species
GGCCUCGUAUCUCAACUGGUCGAGUGUGUGCUGUACAAAAUUGUACGGGGCGUCCAUGCGUGGGUUCGAAUCCCACCAAGGCUA